UAUUCUUACUAACUACAUUAUGCUGGUUUUGGAGAAUUGUAGAGGACCUCUGAGGAAUCUUCCUGAGGAAUGCUCUUUGCAAAGCUCUGCUCCAGAGAUGAUGGCGAACAGCACUGAACAAAACAAAAACCUCAGCCACCAUGAAGCUCAGCGACAGACAAUAAACACAUACACAGAAAAUGGCCAAAAUUCAGACUUCCUGUCUUCUGUAGAAUAAACAUCUAAUAGCUCUUUUGACGGCAGUCUUCAUUCACCUUGCAAUGGA
rnacentral:lncRNA from 1 species